rnacentral:lncRNA from 1 species
UUGAUUCUAAGUGUAUUCCUCCAUUUUAUGGGUGGGUUCCUGACUUCAACCAAUAAUGUCACAAAUAAAUCGACAUUUUGUUCUUCAGGGGGGCUCCUGACCUUGAAAUUUGAAUUAUAUUCCCUUGUUCUCCAGGUGGACGCCUGCUUGCUGAUAUUUCAACUGUUCUUCCUUGUUCUCCAGGUGGACGCCUGCUUGCUAGUUCAACUGUUCUUCCUUGUUCUCCAGGUGGACGCCUGCUUGCUGAUACUUCAACUGUUCUUCCUUGUUCUCGAGGUGGACGCCUGCUUGCUGAUACUUCAACUGUUCUUCCUUGUUCUCCAGGUGGACGCCUGCUUGCUGAUAUUUCAACUGUUCUUCCUUGUUCUCCAGGUGGACGCCUGCUUGCUAUUUCAACUAUUCUUCCUUGUUCUCCAGGUGGACGCCUGCUUGCUACUUCAACUGUUCUUCCUUGUUCUCCAAGUGGACGUCUGCUUGCUGAUAUUUCAACUGUUCUUCCUUGUUCUCCAGGUGGACGCCUGCUUGCUGAUAUUUCAACUGUUCUUCCUUGUUCUUCAGGUGGACGCCUGCUUACUACUUCAACUGUUCUUCCUUGUUCUCC